UGGGGAAUAUUGGACAAUGGGGGCAACCCUGAUCCAGCAAUGCCGCGUGUGUGAAGAAGGUUUUCGGAUUGUAAAGCACUUUCGGCGGGGACGAUGAUGACGGUACCCGCAGAAGAAGCCCCGGCUAACUUCGUGCCAGCAGCCGCGGUAAUACGAAGGGAGCUAGCGUUGCUCGGAAUGACUGGGCGUAAAGGGCGUGUAGGCGGUUUGUACAGUCAGAUGUGAAAUCCCCGGGCUUAACCUGGGAGCUGCAUUUGAGACGUGCAGACUAGAGUGUGAGAGAGGGUUGUGGAAUUCCCAGUGUAGAGGUGAAAUUCGUAGAUAUUGGGAAGAACACCGGUGGCGAAGGCGGCAACCUGGCUCAUUACUGACGCUGAGGCGCGAAAGCGUGGGGAGCAAACA
rnacentral:rRNA from 1 species